rnacentral:lncRNA from 1 species
UUGUGUGGGUAACCCACAAUGGAUUGAAGAGUAAAAUUAUUUGUGUGGGUCACCUUGUGAGUGUGUAAAGGGAGAUUUUCCCAAUAGUGGUAUCAGAGCUGAUGGUUCAAGACAGGGCUCAACCGAGUACGUUCACCCAUGAUUAGGUGAGCCAGGUAGGAGGCCAGUGGUCGCCGGAUGAAUCAUGAGAGGUGGGGAGAGCAAGUGAAAUGCUCAAGUGUUUGACCAUGGAUUGAGAAAGAGAAGUGAUGACCAUGGUGUACUCGAGGAGUCGAUGGUUUAUCGUUUGCCUUGGUGAUAGUUGGUAAUGUUUUCGUUGGAGGGGGAGUGAGUGAGAGUAAAAAAAAAAAAAGGAGUGAGAGAGUUAAAUAUCGGAGAAAGAAAAAAAAGGAAAAAGGGGAGAAUAAAGGAAGAAUUUAAGUUUAUGGGGGAGUUUGUUGGGAUAAAUGAUUCAUUUCAAAUCCCUAACAAAUACAAUUCCAAAACCCUACCCCUAUCUCUCACAUCACAAACGCCAAAUCAAAAACCCUUCAUGUUCCCUAAGUCACUAAACCCUAAACCUCCGCAAAAACCUAAGGUCUCCAAGAACCACUCAAUCACCAUGGUCGCUCAACCCGAAGAAGUCAUCACCCUUCUUGUCUGAACUGAUUCGUCAAUUCUUUGAAUGGGACUUUCCCUUCCUGUCU